GACGAACGCUGGCGGCGUGCUUAACACAUGCAAGUCGAACGGAAAGGCCCUGCUUUUGUGGGGUGCUCGAGUGGCGAACGGGUGAGUAACACGUGAGUAACCUGCCCUUGACUUUGGGAUAACUUCAGGAAACUGGGGCUAAUACCGGAUAGGAGCUCCUGCUGCAUGGUGGGGGUUGGAAAGUUUCGGCGGUUGGGGAUGGACUCGCGGCUUAUCAGCUUGUUGGUGGGGUAGUGGCUUACCAAGGCUUUGACGGGUAGCCGGCCUGAGAGGGUGACCGGCCACAUUGGGACUGAGAUACGGCCCAGACUCCUACGGGAGGCAGCAGUGGGGAAUAUUGCACAAUGGGCGGAAGCCUGAUGCAGCAACGCCGCGUGCGGGAUGACGGCCUCGGUUGUAACCGCUUUCGCCUCGUGACGAAGCGUGAGUGACGGUAAUGGGUAAAGAAGCACCGGCUAACUACGUGCCAGCAGCG
rnacentral:rRNA from 1 species